rnacentral:rRNA from 1 species
UACGUAGGGACCAAGCGUUGUUCGGAUUUACUGGGCGUAAAGGGCGCGUAGGCGGCGUGUUAAGUCACUUGUGAAAUCUCUGAGCUUAACUCAGAACGGUCAAGUGAUACUGAUGUGCUAGAGUGCAGAAGGGGCAACCGGAAUUCUUGGUGUAGCGGUGAAAUGCGUAGAUAUCAAGAGGAACACCUGAGGUGAAGACGGGUUGCUGGGCUGACACUGACGCUGAGGCGCGAAAGCCAGGGGAGCAAACGGG